UUCUCUGGUAUAAAAGACUAUCAUCUGGCUGCUCUUUUGAUAAAUAUGGUCAGAUUUCAGCAAAUUCUUAUUUAACAAACCAGUGUUUUAUAUAAACUCCCAACUAGAUCAUAAAUUGCAACAGGAUCACAGAUUGCAACAAUUAUUGUAAUAAUCUCUGCAAAACUUGUGUCUGCAAAUAAGCAAAUAAUGUCAAGGAUAUUGAUUACUUUACAAGCAUACUGAUUCUUACACAUAAAUAUUAAUGAAAAAAUUAAUGUAAUGUAAAGCUAGACUUUGUAUUGAUGUUCAAAUUAAUUUUAUUUUUAACUUAACAUUAAAAAAAUUUUUUGCAGUGAAUUUAGUGCUGGGGAAAGAUAUUGGCCAGACAGCCCUGAGGAGCAAAGUCCCUUCUUAUCCACAGAACAGAUACAGCAUGGGCAGAGGAGAGCAAAGACACAGUAGCACCCGCCUCAUUGUGCUAGGCAGUGUACAAAAACUUAACAGAGACAGCCACUGCCCCACAGAGCUUCCAGUCUGACUUUCCUAAGGUCACUCAGCAGGUCAAUGUCAGAGCCUGGAACAUAACCCUGAUUUCCUGAGUUCCAGUCAAGGGGCCACCCACUGGACAAUACUGCCUCCCUCCCAUUUUCAGUUGGGGAAACUGAGGCACAUGGGGGACACUGACUUGCUGAAGUUCACCCAGCGUGCCUGUGGCAAAACUGGAGUCCCAGGCUAUAGCCACUAGACCAAUACACAAGCAACUUUAAAAGAAAAAU